rnacentral:lncRNA from 1 species
AUGGCCCUAAUUUUUCCCCAGGUACUGUCAAGGAACAUCCCACAUGCAGCUGUGGCUCACACAGCCUGGCAGAGAACCUCAGGGCUCAGCAGUGGGGUCCCUGUGGUGUUCCUCUCGGGACGGAUCUCCUUUCAUCCCUCUGAAGUUCAGGAGUCACCUGUCUUUCAGCCUGUUGGAAAGAGCAAGACAUAUAGAAGGACAUGUUCAGCAGUCCCGAAGAUGAAGAUUCAUGAGCGUGCAAUUCAGAUCACAGCACCAUGCAGAGCACCCAGAGCAUUCAGCUGUAUCUGCAGGCUCCUUGCAGGGAGCAGACAGCAGGAAAUGAAAACCGUGACCAGAAGUGUAUUCCCCUUGUCUAAACACUGGCAUGCUGGUGUUUAGAAGAAAGGGCUCCACCAUGACUCUUCCCAAGUGCCUGCAGAGUGAAAUGAGAGCUACAGCCAGGGAGAAAAAUGAGCUUGUUCCUGGGUGAAAAUGCAGCACAGAGUCAGGCAGAGCUUUUUUUCUUUUUUUUUUUUUUUUUUUUUUUUUUUUUUUUUUUUUUUUUUUUUUUUGGGGGGGGGGGGGGGGGGGGGGGGGUGGGGGGGACGACGAGGGAAAGGUGGAGGAAGAGAUGGGGAGAUAUAUAUGGGGGACUGUUUGUUUUCCAGCUCUGCCAGACACUAAACUUGGCAGAACCCCGACAAGGCGCUACAAAGCACCCUUCUGGCUGGUGCUGUAAGUUAACAAGAGAAACAUUUGAUAGAUGCCUACUGGCAAGCUAAUUAGAGGAGAAGUGAUUUGCUGGAUUGCAGGAAAAACAAAGGAAGGAGAGGAAAAUGUUCAGGCAGAUCAUUUAAGGUCCUCAUCCUGGGAGAGAGGGAGUAACUGGUUUCAUUUCCCAGAGGCUAAUCCUGCUCUAAUUGACUUAUUAUUAGACUCCAAAGGAAAACAAUCCUUGUGGCCAUGACAACAUACCCAGGGAAUGCAUGACUGGCUGCUCUGGGGAAGACACAUGGGGAGACAAUAGGUUGCAGUGUAUGAAGUGGCACAGGAUCACAUUUGUCAUGUGCAGAUCUAGGCGGCAUAUUAGCCCUAACUGGGCAUACUGGUUAGCGUUACACUGUGGAAGGGGAAUAUUAAAGACAACCUUGUGAUUCAUUGUGGCUCAUUUGUCUUCCAUGAGAAAACGCACAACGUCUUUCUACACACAGACCAGACAACCAGGGAUCACACGUUACAAAAACAGGCGAUGUGGUAGCUGUAGGUUACUUGUGAACUACAAAAAACAAAUUACAUAUUUAUAAACCAAACUCAGGACAGCAAGAUCCUGGUACUGUGAGAGGUGCUCCUACGGACGCGGUACUGUAGAGCUUUAAGAACGAAGAUGCAUCAAAAUACACUAAGUCUGGGAGCUGAGCAAAGGCUUAAGAGAUUUGCAUUUUUCAAAUUGGGAAAAUCUGGUGUGCUUUCCAUUAGCACUUUGAAAAUUAUUUUGAGUCACUAGUUUGCAUAAUUCAAAUACAUAGCUAUAAAAUACAUAGUUCAAAUUUGUGCUAAAUUACGCUGAAGAAACUAUGCUCAGUUUUGAUCAUUAUGUUUGACAUGGACUCUUUGGUAUUAGAAAUGCACUGAAGAUAUACUAUUACUAAAAUAAGAACUAUUACAAAAUGCCCAAGGGAUACAAUUCAUUAUCCAGAUAAACUUUCAAAUAAGCAGACAUAAGUGCAUGCUAAAUUACAAUAAAAUUCUUGUGGAAUUACA